rnacentral:rRNA from 1 species
CCGAGAAUAUUCCACAAUGGGCGAAAGCCUGAUGGAGCGACGCCGCGUGAAGGAAGAAGGCCCUCGGGUCGUAAACUUCUUUUAUGAGGGAAGAAGUGCGUUUUAUACGUUCUGACGGUACCUCAUGAAUAAGGGGCUGCUAACUCUGUGCCAGCAGCAGCGGUAAUACAGAGGCCUCAAGCGUUAUCCGGAUUUACUGGGUGUAAAGCGCGCGUAGGGUGCUUAGCGCGUCUUGUGUUAAAUCUUACUGCUUAACGGUAAGACUGCAUAAGAUACGGCUUGGCUAGAGUAUGUUAGGGGUAUGCGGAACGCACGGUGUAGGGGUGAAUCCGUUGAUAUCGUGCGGAACACCAGAGGCGAAGGCGGCAUACUAGGACAUUACUGACCCUGAGGCGCGAAGCGUGGGUAGCGAACG